rnacentral:rRNA from 1 species
UACGUAGGUGGCAAGCGUUAUCCGGAAUUAUUGGGCGUAAAGCGCGCGCAGGCGGUUUCUUAAGUCUGAUGUGAAAGCCCACGGCUCAACCGUGGAGGGUCAUUGGAAACUGGGAAACUUGAGUGCAGAAGAGAAAAGCGGAAUUCCACGUGUAGCGGUGAAAUGCGUAGAGAUGUGGAGGAACACCAGUGGCGAAGGCGGCUUUUUGGUCUGUAACUGACGCUGAGGCGCGAAAGCUAGGGGAGCAAACAGG